GAUGAACGCUGGCGGCGUGCCUAAUACAUGCAAGUCGAACGCUGACGGAGGAGCUUGCUCUUCUGGAUGAGUUGCGAACGGGUGAGUAACGCGUAGGUAACCUGCCUGGUAGCGGGGGAUAACUAUUGGAAACGAUAUCUAAUACCGCAUGACAACAGUUAUUGCAUGAUAACUGUUUAAAAGAGGCAACUGCUCCACUACCAGAUGGCCCUGCGUUGUAUUAGCUAGUUGGGGAGGUAACGGCUCACCAAGGCGACGAUACAUAACCGACCAGAGAGGGGGAGCUGCCACGCUGGGAGUGGGACACGGCCCAGACCACUGGGAGAGGGAGCAGGAGGGGACCUUCGGCAAUGGACGGAAGUCUGACCGAGCAACGCCGCGUGAGUGAAGGAGGUUUUCGGAUCGUAAAGCUCUGUUGUAAGAGAAGAACGAGUGUGAGAGUGGAAAGUUCACACUGUGACGGUACCUUACCAGAAAGGGACGGCUAACUACGUG
rnacentral:rRNA from 1 species